AAAAAAUGAGAAGAUGAACUGGAAGACCACCAGAAUAAGAUAUACAGGUGGAAGACCUGUUCAUUCAUAAAUCUUCAUCGAUUUAUGAAUGAACAGGUCUUCCACCUGUAUAUCUUAUUCUGGUGGUCUUCCAGUUCAUCUUCUCAUUUUUUCUUUAUAGUUU